rnacentral:rRNA from 1 species
UACGGGGGGGGCAAGCGUUGUUCGGAAUUACUGGGCGUAAAGGGCUCGUAGGCGGCCAACUAAGUCCGACGUGAAAUCCCAAGGCUUAACCUUGGAACUGCGUCGGAUACUGGAUGGCUUGAAUUCGGGAGAGGGAUGCAGAAUUCCAGGUGUAGCGGUGAAAUGCGUAGAUAUCAGGAGGAACACCAAUGGCGAAGGCAGCACUCUGGGACGUGACUGACGCUGAGACGCGAAAGCGUGGGGAGCAAACAGG